rnacentral:rRNA from 1 species
AUGCAAGUCGAGCGAACUGAUUAGAAGCUUGCUUCUAUGACGUUAGCGGCGGACGGGUGAGUAACACGUGGGCAACCUGCCUGUAAGACUGGGAUAACUUCGGGAAACCGAAGCUAAUACCGGAUAGGAUCUUCUCCUUCAUGGGAGAUGAUUGAAAGAUGGUUUCGGCUAUCACUUACAGAUGGGCCCGCGGUGCAUUAGCUAGUUGGUGAGGUAACGGCUCACCAAGGCAACGAUGCAUAGCCGACCUGAGAGGGUGAUCGGCCACACUGGGACUGAGACACGGCCCAGACUCCUACGGGAGGCAGCAGUAGGGAAUCUUCCGCAAUGGACGAAAGUCUGACGGAGCAACACCGCGUGAGUGAUGAAAGCUUUCGGGUCGUAAAACUCUGUUGUUAGGGAAGAACAUGCACAAGAGUAACUGGUU